CACGUAGGGGGCAAGCGUUGUCCGGAUUUAUUGGGCGUAAAGAGCUCGUAGGUGGUUCGGUAAGUCGGGUGUUAAACCCCCUGGCUCAACCUGGGGACGCCACUCGAUACUGCUGUGACUUGAGUCCGGUAGGGGAGCGUGGAAUUCCUGGUGUAGCGGUGAAAUGCGCAGAUAUCAGGAGGAACACCAGCGGCGAAGGCGGCGCUCUGGGCCGGUACUGACACUGAGGAGCGAAAGCGUGGGUAGCAAACAGG
rnacentral:rRNA from 1 species